GUUAAAUCAGUUUCUGGACCACAGGUUCUAGAACAGCUUCUAUCCCAGUUCUAUCUGCCUGUUAAAUCAGUUUCUGGACCACAGGUUCUAGAACAGCUUCUAUCCCAGUUCUAUCUGCCUGUUAAAUCAGUUUCUGGACCACAGGUUCUAGAACAGCUUCUAUCCCAGUUCUAUCUGCCUGUUAAAUCAGUUUCUGGACCACAGGUUCUAGAACAGCUUCUAUCCCAGUUCUACCUGUUUUUUCAUUUUUGACAAAAUGAGCAGUCCUGGAAGUGACAGAUUUUGACUCAUAUUGAGUGAUAAGACUGAGCUAUUUAGAGAAUCC
rnacentral:lncRNA from 1 species